rnacentral:rRNA from 1 species
CCCGCUGAACUUAAGCAUAUCAAUAAGCGGAGGAAAAGAAACUAACAAGGAUUCCCCUAGUAACUGCGAGUGAAGCGGGAAAAGCUCAAAUUUAAAAUCUGGCGGUCCUUGUGGCUGUCCGAGUUGUAAUUUAGAGAAGUGUUAUCCGCGCUGGACCGUGUACAAGUCUCCUGGAAUGGAGCGUCAUAGAGGGUGAGAAUCCCGUCUUUGACACGGACUGCCAGGGCAUUGUGAUACGCUCUCAAAGAGUCGAGUUGUUUGGGAAUGCAGCUCAAAAUGGGUGGUAAAUUCCAUCUAAAGCUAAAUAUUGGGGAGAGACCGAUAGCGAACAAGUACCGUGAGGGAAAGAUGAAAAGAACUUUGGAAAGAGAGUUAAACAGUACGUGAAAUUGCUGAAAGGGAAACGCUUGAAGUCAGUCGCGUCGCUCAGGACUCAGCCUUGCUUUUGCUUGGUGUACUUCCUGUUCGAUGGGUCAGCAUCAAUUUUGGUCGGUGGAUAAAGGCUCAGAGAAUGUGGCAUCUUCGGGUGUGCUAUAGCUCUGGGUUGUAUACAUCGGCUGGGAUUGAGGAACUCAGCACGCCGCAAGGCCGGGUACUUGUACCACGUACGUGCUUAGGAUGCUGGCAUAAUGGCUUUAAUCGACCCGUCUUGAAACACGG